CAAGACAUAGCUUAAAUAAAGCAUCUAGUUUACACCUAGAAGAUUCCACAGCUCGUGUAUAUCUUGA
rnacentral:tRNA from 1 species